GAGAGAGAGAGGUGGCCGCGGGGAUUCCGGAAGUCUACCCUUCACCCGGAAGUGGUUGUUGAAGAACAUGGCGUUGCUGAUGCGAGUCCUUAGGAACCAGUCUAACAUCUCCCAGUGGGUUCCAGUAUGCAGCAGAUUGGUACCCGUGUAUCCUACGCAAGGGCAGUGGGGUAGGACUGGUGUUUCCCAGUGGCCCCAGAUGAGCCAAUCUGAAACCUGUGGUGGAGCAGAACAGAUUCUUGGAGUAAACAUUCUGCAGAGUAGGAAGUAUCACAAUUCAAAUAAGCUUCAUAGUACCAAAGAGUCCCCACAGCCCAUUGAGGAGAAAGUUGGUGCCUUCACAAAGAUAAUAGAAGCCAUGGGAUUCACAGGACCUUUGAAAUAUAGUAAAUGGGUAAAGUCAUGUUCUUCUGAUUUUUCCUUUGGGGGAUUGUUCUUUUUACUUUUC